ensembl:lncRNA
UGCUUUUUAAGUGCUGCAUUCAUUCUGAUCUGCCUAUGUACAUAUUCUAUGACAAGCAAAAUCUCACCUGGAGUUAAGUGUCCAAUUUAGGACAUCUCUUUGAUUCUAUUCACAUGUUUCAUUAAUAUCUGUAAUAGAGAAAGUCUUACAAAUUCAUGUCAAAGGCAGUUAUUGUGCUGAAAACCAGGAGCCAGUUUGAAGUACUGGAGUGUCAGCAAAAUAUCCUAGGUGACCUCUUAGUUUUUUGUUUUGUUUUGUUUUGUUUUCCAUGCAUAUUUUCCUGCUCUCUAUUAAUAAUUCCUCAUUUCUUUAAUACUUCAAUUAUUUUUGUUUUUAAAAAAAUGUUCCUCUCAUUUCCACAAGAAGUCUGCUCCUUCUUUCAUCUCACAGAAUACUAUUAUUUUACUCAUAAAUUUUGCUGUUUUCUAAGAACUGUUGUCUGAUUUUUUUUUUUCUCCAGAGUCUCACCUUCUUCUUCUAUGAUGUUCCUUCCUAAUCCUGCCCUGCAAUUCAUUUUGCAUUGCCUGUCGAGUUGCAAUGGAAUUCCCAUGAUGUUUUCACUGACUGCCUGGGCAGCAUCCAUCAGAGAAAUGGAGCAAGGAUAUGUUUCUACAGAAUAAAGCGGUCUGAAAUGCCCUGCUGUCACAGCACAAAACCAAGAGCACCUCUUCAUCUUCCCUCCGGCCAACGAAAGGGGACAGGAUUUUCAGUGAAACCCAGAUGUUGCUGUGAGUAUAUGUGUGCAUUUAUUAACAGAUAAUAGUGGAGGACUGCAAUUUAUAUCUGCAGAAGCUGAAAUAAUUAAGGAGGGUUGGGUAUUAAUGGAUGUAUGUUUUGAACAAUCUCAAAAACUUCUUUGUGUGGAAAAUUAAGAUCCUUGCUGAUAUUGAAAUAUCUCAGAUUGUUGUAAACCCAUGUUUCUAAUAUUUUAACUGGGAAUCACUUUCAUGGUCCGGCACUGCUGAUGCUGCCCCUUCAGAAGCCAGAAAAUGUCAGAUAUCUCAGUAUUUUCAGGAUUGUUUUGUUCCCAUUCAGCCUGACAGACAAAAAGGAGGGUUCUGAGGGAAGCUCUUAUUUCCUCCCUUCCCAUCUCCCUUUGCUCUUGCAAUAGCACCAUUGUACAGCACCGUUAUGCCAAAUUUUUUACAUAGAGACAGACUCGCCUGUCCCACAUUGUCAUUUCGACACUGUUUUUAACAAAGAUGUAUUUUCUGAGGAUCAUGUUUGAGAAUAAAUGGCUUUGGGUCUAGCACUAGUAAAAGAAGAAAAGCAAAUCCAAAGAACCCACUCAUUGAGUUCAGAGUAGCUACAGGGCAAUGCUGCAUCUUGCUUUUUAGGUGAAAUCUGCAAUUUUGUUUAUCCAGAGCAAUCUGUAACAGCUCUAUGGUAAAGCUGCUUUGAGGUUUAGUUUUGAAGUUUACUGCUCCCAGUUUUCAUUUAUUCCGUCAUAAUACAUGCAUAAAACAUUUUUAUUAUGUGGAUAGUAAUUUGCAUGAGCACAAGGACUUUAGCUCAAAUGCUCAUGAACAAGACUGUUCUUCAGUCGGGUCAACUGGAAGUUAUUCUGCUUUACUACAGGGCUUUCAGUUAAUUAAAUUCAAAGAACCUGUUCAACUGCUAAGGCCUGUUAUAGUCCAGAUAAGAAAAAAAAUACAUUUUUUCAUCAGUCUCUGGGGACAGACACUGCUGAUGCUCCUCCUGCUGUAGCCACAAUACAGUGGGCCACAAUACAAGUGAAAAGGAGGAAGAAUGUCCUGCCCAAAGUAUUUCAGUGGGACAUACACGUCUGUGACGAACACAGAAAGGACUAUUCAGAUGCAUUUUGUUAUAUGGAAUGAACUACAUUUCUGAUCUUCUAAUGCAAUGAAUAUUGUGCUCUGCAAGUAAUGUAAUUAACACAGGAAAAAGAGGAGUGAACUGCAUUUACAGUAGAAGUGAACUUUACCUAAAAUUAUCAUUUCAGAAAAUUGACUGUUCUUCUAACUGUUGGUAAUUAUUUUUUCCUUUUUUUUCUUGAGUUCCUCUUUAUUUGGAUAGGUAAUAAAAUUAGUUUUGAUCCUGCACACUGAAGGAGAAACCCUAGUGGCCACAUUCUGACUCUACUUGAACUAGUGUAGGAACUCAUACGGAAAAUUAAGUGAAAAUCAAUUAACAGUUGCCCCGGGCAUUUGAAACAAAUGCCAGGAAUCCCUAAAUGUUUCUCAGUUCUGUAUAAAUCAUAGCUGACAAGUGGUGGUAUCUCUGCUUCCACUGAAAAUUUGCUUUGUUACAGUAAAAAUUCUUUUAUUAUAUAUAGUUGCUGAUGUACAUAUAUAUAUGUAUUAACCGUCUACAUUUUCUCAUGUGCAUCUUCCAUAAAUCUCCUUUUGAGUCUCUUCCAAAGAAACUAACCUAUGCUUUUGAAGAAAAGAUGACUACCUGGUUGAAGAAAAGGAGUAAUGGAGAACACAUUCUUCAAGACAGAAAUCUUCCAGACUUCUCCCAGGUUUAAUUGGAGGUGCUUUGUAAACCUUUGAUGGUUAAGGACACCAGAUUUUGGAGUGAAAUGCUGGUGUAUGUAUACCAUUUUCAGUUUUAUAAGAUUUAGACCUGACUUCAUGGCCACUCAUUGCAUCUUCCUGUUGGUGAGGGUUAUGGAUAAGGUGUGGGUAGUUAAAGAAGAGCAAAUGAAGCAUGCUAGUUCAUAGAGUUGGGGGGAAGAAGCUGGUGCAAUUGUGAUUUUUCUUUUUGCAAGCAUCGUAGAGGCUGGCUUUCAGAUAAUGUAGAUGUGUGAGGAUGUGUUUUGUCUCAGGAAUCAAGCUGGAGUCCAAGUCUGACAUUCAUUACUGUGCUGUGCAUUACCACAACUCUAGAAAAUAUUCUUCCAGCAAUUUAAAUUUAAUAUUUCACAGUCACUUUCAAACAUCAUCAGGCUGGGUCAGUACUUUCCUUUUUGUCUUUAAGUUGUAAAAAUUUUAUCUUCUCUACCUAAUAAAACACAUGCUGCACUCAAAAAUCUCUCAUUCCUUCUUGCAAAGGUGACAUAGCGAAGCUGUACAUAUACCACUCUUGGUAUCAAAUGUAAUUAUUGAUGUAAGGAACGUAUCAGCCCUGGCCUGUGUGAUGCUGCUAUUUCAUCUGCAGGCAUCCUUCUCCAAGCCAUAUAAACACACUGCUCCAGUGUUGUGCUUUCUUCAGCCCUUAGUUGACUGUAUAACAUUUUUGAAUGAGUUGUGUUUUGUACAUAGCCCGUGAAAUCAGUUUGUGCAGCAAUUGGUUGCUUUCCAGAAGAGUGCUGUAUGAGUGUAAGUCAUUAAUGUCGUCAUUAUCCAAGGAAAAGGAUGAAAAUAUGCAGAUAUAUUUCUUAGUGUAGAUGUAAUUAUAGCAUUUUGCAAGACUAUUUAAAUAGUACUUAUUUGGCAUAGUGGUUGCUAUUUAGUUUUAAGCAAGAUGAAAGGUAGAUCAUUUUUGCUUAUUUUUGUUCCAUUUUAAUGCAGUGCUAUUAAACUAAGCAAAUUUCAGAUUGGAGAGAGGGAAGUAAUAGGAUGAUUUGAAAAACAGCAAUGAAAGAGAAUGAAAAAUGAAAAUAAUUGUUGUUUUUUAGAGAUAAAAUUAACGUCGCAAACAGCAGUAAAACCAUAACUGCCUCUAACUUUUUCAUCUGCUUCUAUCUUUUUCAUCUUGAGAUCCCAGAAGCUUGAAAGCACAAAAGAAACAGCUUGUGGAAAAUCUGUGAAGUCCAUCUAUUUCUACAAUAGGAUUAUUCAUCACCACAUGUUUUCCCCAUCUGGAAGUAAAGGGACAAAAUGCUGAAACCACCACCGUCUCACUUGCAAAUUGCUCCACAGUCUAACCAGUCAUGCUAUUGAGAAGAUAUGCCUGCAGUUCAACCCAAAUUGUCUGUAAUCAUGUUGCUUCCUUUCCCUUGUUAUCCUGAGUAGUUCCUCCCCACCCAUAUGUUUAACCUCUCUGAAAUAUUUGUGGAUGGCAAUCAGAUCCCUCUGAGUCACUGCUUAGCUAAGCUGUAUGCAUUUUCAGCAUCCUUCUUUUCUUGUGUAAAUCUUCUCAGAUAUUUAACCAUUUUUCUCCACUUUCCUGUGAAAUCCUCAGCAUUCACUGAAGAUGUUAGAAUGAUUGCCCCUGGCUGAACAUGGGAACGGAACAUGAGCCUUACACAGAUGGUCCCCUUAGUGGCCUGGGUUCAAGUGCAGUGGGUUGAGGUGCUCAAACACUCCCUUACCACGCUUGGAACUCCUGCUCUAUAAAUCAGGGCUAUACAGUCUGGGGAGUACUGGAACUGUACAGCUGGGGGAAAGUCCCAGCUUUGCUCCACCUGGACUGUGGCCACAAUGGAAAAUUUUCUGGUUAAAGUCAAUUAUUUUGCUGCCGAAAGGUAAGGCUUCUACAGCGGCCUGUGUGUGGCUGAGGCUAUGCUACGAACAGUUCUUAGCUACAAAGAGAGGUAAAGUUCUCACUCUGUACAGCCAUGUCCACACUCUUACUAGCUGCAGCAUAGUCCAACUUAAUCACAUGGAGCAGUGCAAACAGUGUGAAGGAAUACCAUCUUCCAGAUUUCAGAGGUAAAACCAAUGCUUAGAUUAUUGGAUUGACCAAGCAUGAUAAUUAGACACACGGAGUUUUCUAAUUUUCCACUUAUUUACCACUGCAAUUUGGAAAAACAGUUGGGAAAUGUGAAACAUUCCAUGGGAUGGGAUGUUUGUAGUAUCUUUCCUCAGAAGAACGUGUGUAACAUGGUGUGUUUUAAUAAAUACUGCAGUCAGGGAACUGACUCUUGGCCAAAGCAGGAGCCUGGGAAGACAGAAAUAUUUGCAGCUGGUCAGUGCUUUCCACCUCUCCCUUCCCACUGAGGCCAGCGACCAAAAAGCCAUCCAUCCUGAGUGCUAAGGCACGCUGGCCUCCCUGCCUACUUUCUAUCAACAGUUUUGACAGGUCCUCACUGAUUGUUGUUAUGAAAUCAAAUCUAUAUUUACAGCCAGAAAAUGCCUGUCAAAAUAUAUCUUUAACAACCUGAAAUUUAAUUCUUCAGCUGUCUCUAUAGUAGGCAUGUCCAUUACAGGAAAUCUUUCCUUCCUCUUUCCAUUAAAAUAUUUUCAAUUUGGCAUGCCAAAAAAGCUGUAUCUCAAAGAGGAAAUAAAAAAAUAGUCUUUAGUAGAGCAAGAAGAUUUACAAAAUCAUUUAUUACCUUUGGUUUCCAAACUAAUCUUAGAGUGAGAGAGAGUAGUGCUAAAAUGCCUAAGCAAAGUGGGGAGUUUAUAGGACCACAUAACCUACUCAGUCUUAAAUAAUAGUAGCAGUAAUAAUAGCAGUAAUAAUAAUAGUAGCAAUAAUAAUAAUAGUAAUAAUAAUAAUAAUGGUAAUAAAAUAGAUGAGCUAAGUGAUUUGAUAUCUGAGCUUAUUAUCUGACAAGUGAUUGAAACUACAUAAGAGGAAAAGGACUCUAUGAAAAAUUAAAACUGGCAACACUGGUAAGACUGUGUGUCAGGAGAAGUAAUUGCAGGAAACUUCUGCAGUGCACAUUAAGACCACCCAGCUCCUCUGUGCUGGCAAGGUAGCAGAAUCUGAUAAGCUACUUGAAGAACACAUUACUGAAAAUCAGCAUAUCUAUAUAAUUGGCCUACAUUUCAUAGAGUUCAUAGCUCUCAUAAGAAGAGCUAAUGUCUCUCGUGUUUCUGUUUUGUUUAUAUCAGGAACUGCAGCCAAGUUCUUGCUUCUAGCUUUGCUUAGAGUUUCUCAUGGAUCUGGGGAGAGUGUCCUGCCAGUGACAGAUUGAGACUGAGUGUAAUUGGGGAUGCAGGAAGGUGAGGGAAAGAGGCAAUAUCCCAGGGUCAUGGGAUCAAUGCUUGUAAAUGGGAAGAGGGGAAGUCAUAGAAUCAUUGAAUCAUAGAAUCACUAAGGUUGGAAAAGACCCACAGGAUCAUCCAGUCCAACCAUUCACCCAUCACCAAUGGUUCUCGCUAAACCAUGUCCCUCAACACAACAUCCAAACGCUCUUUGAAUACCACCAGGCUCGGUGACUCCACCACCUCUCUGGGCAGCCCAUUCCAGUGCCUGACCACUCUUUCAGAGUAGUAGUAUUUCCUAACGUCCAGCCUGAACCUUCCCUGGUGCAGCUUGAAGCCAUUCCCUCUAGUGCUACCACUAGUCACCCGAGAGAAGAGGCUGACCCCCAGCUCACCACAACCUCCCUUCAGGUAGUUAUAGAGAGCAAUAAGGUCUCCCCUGAGCCUCCUCUUCUCUAGACUGAACAAUCCCAGCUCCUUCAGCCGCUCUUCAUAAGGCCUGUGCUCCAGACCCCUCACCAGCUUUGUUGCCCUCGUCUGGACACGCUCCAGAGCCUCAAUGUCUUUCUUACAGUGAGGGACCCAAAACUGGACACAGUACUUGAGGUGUGGCCUCACCAGUGCUGAGUACAGGGGGACAAUUACUUCCCUGUUCCUGCUGGCCACACUAUUUUUGAUACAAGCCAGGAUGCCAUUGGCUUUCUUGGCCACCUGGGCACACUGCUGGCUCAUGUUCAGUCUAGCGUCAAUCAACAUCCGUAGGUCCAUUUCCUCUACACAGUCUUCCAGCCACUCUGCCCCAAGCCUGUAGCGUUGCCUGGGGUUAUUGUGGCCAAAGUGCAGGACCCGGCAUUUGGUCUUGUUGAAUCCCAUCCCAUUGGCUUCAGCCCAGCUAUCCAGCCUAUGCCCAGCUAUCCAGCCUAGACAGGCUCCUGUCUAUUUCCUUUAUCAUGAUUCAAUAGAAUGAAUAUUUUUCUUUGGUGGUACAUAAUGAACACUAAAUUAAUGAACUACAUUGUAGCUGCAGCAUUUUAUUUAUUUAUGUACAGGUUAGUUUUCAUAUCUCUUUCCCUAUAUACCUUCCAAUAGAGUCAUAGCAUCAUUUAGGUUGGAUAAGACUCUUAAGAUCAUCAAGUCCAACCACCAACCUAUCACUACUGACUGAACCACUGAACCAUAUCCCUAAGCACCACAUCCAUGUAUCUUACAUAACUCCAGGGAUGAGGAUUCCACCAUUUCCCUGAGCAACCUAUUCUGUGCCUGAAAAAUUAUUCCUGAUUUCCAGCCUAAAUCUCCUUUGGCACAACAUGAAGCUCUCUCUUCACGUCAUCUCACUUGUCACUUGAAAAAACAGGGUAACACCUUACUCCUUUCAUUUAACUGUAGAGAGUGAUGAGGUCUCCCCUCAGCCUCCUUUUCUCCAUACUAAAUAGCUCCAGUUUUCGCAUGCACACCUGCUAACUCUUAUUUUCUUGUUCUUUCACCAGCUCUGUUGCUGUGUUUUGCACAUGUUCAACAAACUCAGCUUCCUUCUUGCGGUGAGGAGUACUCAAGAUGUGGUCUUAUCAGUGUCAAGCACUGAGGGACAAGCAGAACAAUUCAAAGGCUAUGACUAUCCUUGAGACCUUGUAGCACCUGCACCUACAGAAACUGUCCACAGAGGCCUUACCGGACCAUGUUUUAUUGUCAUUGUUUCUGGGCAAAGGUUUUAUAAUGCAGCAGUGGAGUCCAUCUUGCUGAAGCAAUGGAGACAGAUAGUGAUGGAGCUGCCAGAACAACCUGUAAAUUAUCUGCCCUAAAAUCCUCAAAGAGCACUUUGUGCUGAAAAGAAGGCUGUUCAAGGCAGGAGGGGAAGAAUUUGAUCUUGCCUACAUUUGUUGUACAGGAACAGAAAGGAGGAGUGCUUUAUUCAUCAAGUGAACACAGCACUUUAAAAAUUCAACUAAGUCAAUAUAGGAAUACGUUUAAAAUGUAUUCACCUUCAGAGAGAGAUUUCCUGGACUGACAGAACUGCCAAUGGGUAUGAGUUAUUGCUUAGCAAAAGUUGCUGCAAAGGAUGCUGUACCCAUCACCUCUGUGAAGGGGUCUUAUGUGGAACAAGCUGCUAAGAAAGUUAUGGCCAACAGAAGUUCUGCCUUUGACUGGUGCUUUGGUAACUACCUGUGGGGAUAGUCUGCUGUUAUUCUAUUUUUCUUCCUUCUUUGUCAGAGAAAAUGGCAGUCUGGUGACAGUGUUCUUGAGAAUAGCAACUUCAUUCUACCAGGUUCUGCUGGUAGAGUAGAAGUGGAAAGUCCUGCCUGAGAACGUGCAUUGUAGAAGCACUGCUACCAAAGCUGGCAGCUCUGCCAAAACCCAGAACAUGAGUGCUUUGGGGAUGCCCUGGUAGGAACUUAGGUCAGUGCUGGCCUUGGGCCAUCCAGAGUAAGAUGUGAACUGCCUGGACUACGGCAUUACUGGGCAGAAAGAGUGUCUGAUCCCUUCAUGAUUUCAACUUCAGAUUUGCACACCUUAUAUUUACCUCUGAGUACUUUGUAGCACAUUUUGAUAUUUAUGCUUUGACUUUAAUUCAGAAAGAAUCUGGAGAGGAAUAAGAGAGAGGCUAAAAAUGUGCAAGACAAAAAAUACAUGUGUGAUUUCUGAAAUCUGACAGUGUUUAGGAGGGGAAAUAGAAGCUACACUGCUGAUUAUUUUACUUUAUUCUCCCAAUUGAAUGUGAUUUUUUUUGUUUUGUUAUUUUUUAUUUUUCUUUCUAUGCUAUGUAUGGAUGAUACCAGGCCAGUUCCUACCCAAAGGCUUGCUUAAGUGCUUUCAAUCUUACUUGCUUACUUUGCAUCUACAGUAACAAGGAUUCAGUUGUGAGUAAGCCUCAGCAUUUUACUUUAGUUCAAAUGAUUUCUAACUGGAAUAUCAGUGAAUCUUUACCUUCAGGUCAUCCGUGCUCUUUUGUAAGAAUGAAUUUCAGUAGCUUAAAAAUGCUCAGAGUUCGUGAAUGACAGUGAUAACUCACUGCUAUGAAACUUCCUGUAAGUGUGCACCCAUCUCCCUAAAUAAGUAGAAAUGGGUUUCAAAUAACAGGCUCUUCUGUUUAUAAGAGUGGUAAUUAGAAGUGCAUUAAGGAAACCCUCAUUUCAGAAGCAGGCGUAUGAUAUCUAUGAAGUUUCCUGCUUUUUUCCUUUUCUAUAUAUGUUUGAGGCUCCUGAUUGUCUAAUGAGAUUAGGGUAAAUUUGAAAUUAAUUGUAUCUUGUAUAUGUUUUUGAAAUAACAGGCAUAAAGCUACAUUAACUUGUUUCCAUUUGUGAAAGCAGCCUGUUUUCCUUGGUACGUAAGUAACUUCAUGGUUACUAAAGUCUUACUUAUACCCUUUGAAUUGUAUGAGCAAACCUUUCUCUAUUUUAUGUGUUCAUGAAGAUAUUGAAGAAAUAUCAGCAGCUUUGUAUGCAAGUAGACGAGUGAAGUUGGCAUUUAAACUCUUGAAAAUUACAUAACAGCUACUAGUGUUAAGAAAUUAUAGAUAUGAUGAAGGAAGAGCUGUGAAUUUACAUUUAGAAAUUAACCCAGCUGGGUUUUGUAUGUGAGUGAAAGGUGAAGGAGAGAUAUUUUUAAAAGCUAUUAUUAUGCAUCAGCAAGGUGUGUGUCAUUAACGAAUUAUUUUGAGAAUGCCUUACUAAGACAGUGGUGGUAAUUAGUCUUUAGAUUUGUAGAAGGAAUGUGAUAUUCCUUUUAAUUGGGAAAGUUUUCCUGCCUCUGGGCACGCGCCCUGAAGUGGAGAGGGGGGGAGAGUAGAGGAGAAGGGAAAGUAGGAGGGGAGUGGAGGGAAGAGGUGAGGAAGGAAGGAGACUCAGUGGACUUUAAGAAUUGUCCAUCCUUUUCCAAAAUAGUCAGCAGUGCUACUGAAAAGCCUUCCUUCUGAAUGAUAUUAUCCUAUCCUAACAUUACUUUGAAGUUUUCUACCCCUAGAUGAAUUCUACAUUCAUUAAUGUCAGCAAGCCUUUUUUUUUCUGGACUAUUGAGGCCAUCUUUCCUGCAAAUGACCUUAACAGCUGCAAAGAGAAAAGAUAUGAUAACAUUACAUUAAAACACACACUAUGGUAGUUCUCUGAAAAUUUGGAGAUUUUGUUAGGUUUCUGGCUGAGUUUAUGAAUUUACUGUAUGCAAAGCUGCAAUGGAUUUUUCAGUUCCCUCCACUAGUUCCCCCAAGCCUCAGGUUACGAGAGAAAAGCCAAAAAUGCAGGGCAAUGUCAAUUAUAGGAUAGCUAGAGGCAUUAUGUUCCCCUCUCCCAAGCUGUUCUCAGCAGUGACUUAUUGCCACACUUCAGAGAACAAAUUAAGAUGCUCUGCAGUGAUGGAUCCCAAAAACUUGUUUGUCCUGAGAGCCAAGGAAGAGAAAAAGGUGUGGCAAACAGUGAAUGCACCAGAACACAUGAAGCUAAGGGGAUGUGGAAAUAUAAUGUUGAAAUACCCAGUCUAUCUUUCCUUCUCUGCCCUAACCUACAGGAAAAACAAAAUCAGUUAUGUGUUUUGACUUUCUGUGAAAUAGAGGGAGCAUUAGACCUUCUGCAUUCAAGGAGGGAACCAUGGACAUAAGAAUAGCUGCUUAUCUUCAUUUGUGGUCUUGGAGAUGAAUAAGGAAUGAGUGACAAUUUGUAUUCACUACUGAGUACAUAACACAACUGUUCGAGAGAAGAUGCAGGUCUCCAAAAUCUACCAGCUGCCAUGCACUGGGCUAGUUUGGCAACGUCCAUCUUACCACUCGUGAAAGUAGGCCUUCGCAUAUUUGUGUAAUUCAGCAAAGGAUGUGGUCAAAUUAUUGCCUUUGUCUCUUUUUAUUCUGAAUUACCUCCAGAACUAAGGUCAAAUAAGGAAAAACUAUCCCACAGCAAAAGAGAGAAGUAAAGAGACAUACUGGUUAGCUUCUCACUGUCUGCUAAACUGCAUGAAGUCUACUUGAAAUCUCUGAUCUACACUAACAUACCAACUUAAAAAAAAAUCCACAAAUGCUAUACCCUGCAACUAGAAAAGUAGGCAGCUGGGUUAAACUUGUAAAUAGUGAGUCAGGCUCCUCAGAUUCUGGGGAAGACUGAAGAUGAGAGGAAGCAGAGUAACUGCUGGCCCUUUGGUAUGGAACACAGGCAAAGUCAGGGGACAACAAUGGCAAAAGUUCCCUGGUCUAUGGGGUAUUUGGGACGUGAAUCCCCUUCCUGAGGGUGAAAGUGGUGCCUGAAAGAGUCAUGUACAGAGGUCAGUGCGUUAGGCUGGUGAGUGUCCAGGAGGAAACACUCCUGGAGGACAGCAAUACAAUAAGUUUAAGAAAAAAAAAGGCCAGAACAUAAAUUCUUGCCACCCUUUAAAAUUUAACAAUAUUAAGCAUAAUCAUUUGGCAGUUCACUUAAUCUCAGUGGCAAAAAUAACUGGUUAUACGUUAUUAUUGAAGAUUAAAAUCUUAAAUCUUCCAUCAAGGCGGGGAGGGAGCAGGAGGUGCUAGAUAUGACUUUUGUCAUAUCAGGACCCUAAUGAAUUCUGCAAAAAAAGAAUUCUUAUGAAAUAUCCUUUCCAUUCAGCUAUUAUCUUUGGCUGUAGCAAUUACUCAUUUGCUCUAAACUGAAAUCCAACAACAUGAAGCACAGCUAUUCUCUUUCAAACUAAAAUCAGUAUUGGCAGGAUGACUGAAACUAUUUGCUUCCAUUAAAGGCAAAAUAUGUCCUAAGUGGUCACAAGUGUGCCAUCUUCCUCAGCUGUCAGUGCCUAAUUUGAAAUAUUUAAUUUAAAACAUUUUUAAAGCAGGCUGGUUGUCUCUGUUGCUCUGAGCUUACAUCUCCUACAUUCUAUUUCCAAUACCUGCCCCCACAUCCAUUGGCUGCUUCUGAUGUGCUAACGCAUUUAGAAAUGUGACUUUCCUCAUCUAUGCUAGACAAAAAGUCUAAUGCAAGAUCAUGUUGGUGAGUUCAUUCUAGAACACCAUCUUCUCUGGCCUUUUGUUAUGGGAGAAGCAACAGGAAGGAAACUGAGCUCCAACUACUGCUCCAGUAUGGUCAGCAAGAUGCACAGGAGGGAAAUUCUGUAUCCAGCUUGUGGAAGGUAUGGCAUGCCUCUUUCAGAUCCUCCUCAGAAGGGCAUCUACAUCACAGUAGUGCGGCCAAAGAUGUGGUGGAGAAGCCAUGAGAGAGGAGUCCCAGAGAGAACCUCAUAAUCCAUAGAAUCAUAGAAUCAUUAACAUUGGAAAAGACCUCUACGGUAAUCUAGUCCAACCACCAAUCUGUCCCCACCAUGCCCACUAACCACCUCCCUAAGUGCCACAUCUACACCUUUUAUUAACACCUCCAGGGACUCCACCACUUCCCCAGGCAGCCUGUUCCAAUGCAUUAACACUCUUUUGGAGAAUAAUUUUUUCCUAAUAUUGAACCUGAACUUCCCCUGGCACAACUUAAAGCCAUUACUUCUUGUCCUAUCACUAACUACAUGGGAGAAGAGGCCAACCCCCAUCUUGCCACAGACUCCUUUCAGGCAGUUGUAGAGGGCAAUAAGGUCUCCCCUGAGCCUCCUCUUCUCCAGACCAAACAAUUCCAUUUCCCUCAGCUCACCCCAAGACCUGUGCUUCAGAUCCUGGAUUAAUCUUCUGUGCACUUGAAUAAAAAUGUAGUUUCUACUGAAAGACAAAACUUUUCAUGCAAAGAGAGGACAAUUCUGUUUAAAAACAACAGUAAGUACAUCAGAGACAUUGUAUUCAUCCUACAUUCUGAAAAAAAAAUGCCAAUAAUAAAGCUCUAUCUAGAGAACUGUGGAAGGAAAAAGAUUUUUUGAUAUCUUUUUUUCUAAACAAUUAAAGCUGAAGCAUUCAGCAUUUUGGAUCCAGUGUAAAUCCUCGCAUUCCUGGGCAAUAUAUAUACAUAUUUUCUGUCAGCAAAUCCUUAGUUUCCACAUUAGUUAAUGUUCCACCUGCUGUAUAAACCCAGAGAAGCUGUCUCUUGCAACUGUAGUGUUCUCUUCUGGCAGUCCUUUUUUCUUCCUUUUUCUUCUGUCAAAUAUGCAGAAAAUACCUUUGAAAAUGUACACAGUGUUCACAGUAAAUGGAAAUAACACAGAUGCACGCGUGUACAUUUAUGGAAGUGUAAUAAUUCUGAGAACAGUACAGAGAGCUCAGUUAACAGACUACAGUAAACGAUGCCAGGUUACCUAAACCUCAUAGUCCCAAAAGGAAGGAUUUUAGACAGCUUGCUGAUGUUCACAGUGUCAUGACGUAUGUCAGCACCAAGCCCACGUAACGGGUUUAAAUGAUCUAUUGACCUCCAACGGAUAUUAUGAACAUGGGUAUCAUCCUUCAUUGUUAAUAAAAAGGGAACCAACUGAGACAUUUUGAUUCUUGUUUGUCCUGCUUCACCGUUAUUCAGACCCUUCCAUAUUGGAAAAGCAUGAAGAGACAGCAAGCAGUUUCAAUUCAGUGUUUCUGAACUGGGGAUCCAUUGUGAUAGGAAAGAUUUAAAGUUAAAGUGAGAUGAAAGAUGUGGCCCAAAUGAGCAAAAGUGGUUGGUGGCAGGAAAUUCGCUGAUGCUAAUUUGUACUGCUUAGAAUAUUUUCUCCAAACUGCUAGGUGGGAGGGUAGCUAGUUGAUCCCUCCAGAAAGCCCAGGAAAAGCCCAUGCUGUUUCCAUAGCCUCUCUGUGAAGCCUGCUCCAGAGUUCUGCCAACCUCAAAGUAAAGAUUUUUCUCAUGUUCUUAUGGAACUUUCUAUGCUCCAGUCUGUGCCUGUUGCCCUUUGUCCUGUCACUGGGUACCACUGAAAAGAGCCUGGCUCUUUAACUCCCGCCCUUUAGAUAUUUAUAAGAGUUCUAAGAUUUCCUCUCACUCUUCUCCAGGCUGAACAACCUCUGGUCUUUUAGUCUUUCCUUAUAAAGGAGAUUCUCCAUGCCCGUAGCCACCUUUUAGGCUUUCCUCUGGACUCUUUCCAGUAGUUCCUCAUCUUUCUUGAACUGAGGAGCCCAGAACUGGACACAGUACUCCAAGUGAGGCCUCACCAGGGCAGAGCAGAGGGGGAGGAUCACCUCCCUUGAUCUGCUGGCUAUGCUCUUUCUAAUGCACCCCAAGAUACUGUUGGCCUUGUUGGCCAUAAGGGCACACUGCUGGCUCAUGGCCAUCCUGCUGUCCACCAGAACACCCAAGUCCUUCUCCACAGAGCUCCUCUCCAGCAAGUCAGCCCCUAACCUGUACUGAUGCAUAUGGUUCUUCUUUCACAGGUGGAGGACUCUGCCCUUGCCCUUGUUGAACUUCAUCAGGUUCCUCUCCUCCCAGCUCUCCAGUCUGUCCAGAUCUUGCAGAAGGGCAGAGCAUCCUUCUGGUGUGUCAGCCAUUCCUCCCAGCUUUGUAUCAGUUUCACACUGAUAAAAGGGUCAAUGUACACUAGCUAUUCUUAGCCACUUUUUCAUAAUUUGCAUUUAAAAAGCUAUCACAUAUCUUUUAAUUCCCUUGUUAUACACCUGUAAAUUCUCACUGUAUGUUUUGCUGAUAUUUAUCACCAAUGAAAGUUCAUUCACCCCAGAUCCCUCAUUUAGGAAAGGAAUAUAUGGGGGUAUUGUCUGAGCUCUAUCUUUCUUAAUGCC